AAACCAUGGGGUGGGCACUUCAUAGUCAGCUCCUUAAACUUCUCCCAGCUUUCACUGAAUUUCUCCCCCUCUUCCUGCCUAAAACUAUUGAUCUCUUGACGGAGAUC